GACAGAGGGUGCAAACGUUGUUCGGAAUUACUGGGCGUAAAGCGCGUGUAGGCGGCCCUGCAAGUCGGAUGUGAAAUCCCACGGCUCAACCGUGGAAGUGCAUUCGAAACUGCAGGGCUAGAGUCCUGGAGAGGAAGGUGGAAUGCUUGGUGUAGAGGUGAAAUUCGUAGAUAUCAAGCGGAACACCGGUGGCGAAGGCGGCCUUCUGGACGGUAACUGACGCUGAGACGCGAAAGCGUGGGGAGCAAACAGG
rnacentral:rRNA from 1 species